rnacentral:tRNA from 1 species
GCUGGGGUACCAAAGCGGUCAAAUGGGUCUCGCUGUAGACGAGAUGGCUUACGCCUUCGGGGGUUCGAAUCCCUCCCCCAGCACCA